ensembl:lncRNA
GUGGAAUCAAAACGUCCAGCUGGUAAAAGAGGAGUCCACAGUAAGGCCAGAUCCUCUGGUAUUGGCGGCCUGGGGAGCGGACCAGUCAAGAUGCGCUCUCCUGGUGGGUCAUAAAAUGAGUUUACGUAGGGAGGAAGCAGGAUGUAUAAAGCCCAGGAGCCUGAUCUGUUUCUGAGAUCAAACAGAGCAGCAUUGUGCCGGGGUGUGGAGCUGAUGUCAGCGUCUAGAAUGCUGGUCGGAGUCGCCCUGGUUACGCAGCUGGACCGGAAUAAGAGUCUCCCAGUCAACAUCCUUCUGAGCGAGCAAACGUGUGGAAGCAUCUUACCUAAACCCUGUGAGCCCCCACAGAGGAGCUGUCCGUUCAAAAGCUAGGACAGACUCCAGCGAGGGACAGUCCUUUCGUGCUGCUCUAACAAGAUCUGAUCUAAACUGAUAAGCCUUCUGCCAGUCUCGGCCAUGAGUUCAUCAGCCUUCUGUGCCAAAAUCCAUGACAUAAAAAGCCCAAGCGCAGUGUGAUGCUGAAGGUUUCCUUCACUCUCUUCCUACAAGAUAAUCUAUCUGUCUGUCUGUCUGUCUAUCUAUCCAUCCAUCCAUUCAUCCAUCCAUCCAUCUACCUAUCUAUCUACCUACCUACCUAUCUACUCAUCUAUCUAUCUAUCUAUCUAUCUAUCUAUCUAUCUAUCCAUCUAUCUACCUACCUAUCUACUCAUCUAUCUAUCUAUCUAUCUAUCUAUCUAUCUAUCUAUCUAUCUGUCCAUCCAUCCAUCUCUCAUUUAUUGUUAACAUUAGACUUAUUACUGGUUGCUAUGCUUUACGUCAGUUAUUUGUGUAUGGUUUUUACUAUACGAUGAGUCUCUUGUAAACAAGUUCUGAGUUCAUCAGUCUCUACUUUAGGCGUAGGUGGAAUAUGCACAGUUAAUGUGAGUGGGAUAAAUAUCUUACACACUCAAUGACAAAAUGCAUACAGCUUACGACAGUGACAUAAUUAAAACGCAGAAGCAGCAGAGACUUACCAAUUUCUUCCUUCUCAUUAGAAGGUACAACAUAGAUGGUACAACACAAUUUCCUACCUUGUUGCAGGCAGUGGUGGUGCACACCUUUAAUCCCAGCACUAGGGAGGCAGAGGCAAGCAGAGCUCUGAAUUCGAGGCCUGCCUGGUCUACAGAAUGAGUUCCAGGACAGCCAGGGCUACACAGGGAAACUCUAUCUUCAAACAAACCAAACCAAACCAAACCAAAAAUGGUAAGAUGGGAAGUGGAAAUCCUCAACCAGGAAAUAGUAAGAUGUAAACCAUAACAUAUGCAUAUAUAUGUUAAUUAGAAAUGAGUAAAAACACAUAUCACACACACAUGCACACAUACCUUUACUAAUAAAUGCCUGUAUUAACAAUGAGAUAAAUACAUUUUCUCUAUAUGUACUGAUUUAUCUCUCCAUUGUAACUCAGUUCCUAGAUGUAUAUGUUUUGAAUAACAAUAUGGACAGGAAGGCUGGCACUGACCACAGUGCAGUUCGUGAAAUAUUCCAUAAAAACUCGUCGGAUGAGCAAAAUAAAGUACCUAACACUUUAACUGAGAUGAAGAAUAUUUUAUAUACCUGG